UCCCUAUGGGGUGCAGCAGGCGCGAAAUCUCUGCAAUAGGCGAAAGCUUGACAGGGUUACUCUGAGUGAUUCCCGCUAAGGGGAUCUUUUGGCACCUUUAAAAAUGGUGCAGAAUAAGGGGUGGGCAAGUCUGGUGUCAGCCGCCGCGGUAAUACCAGCUCUCCGAGUGGUAGGGAUGAUUAUUGGGCUUAAAGCGUCCGUAGCCGGCUUAGCAAGUUUCCUGUUAAACCCAGCGACUCAAUCGUUGGAUCGCGGGAAAUACUACUAGGCUAGGAGGCGGGAGAGGUCAACGGUACUUCUGGGGUAGGGGUGAAAUCCUAUAAUCCCGGGAGGACCACCAGUGGCGAAGGCUGUUGACUAGAACGCGCUCGACGGUGAGGGACGAAAGCUGGGGGAGCGAACCGGAUUAGAUACCCGGGUAGUCCCAGCUGUAAACGAUGCGAGCUAGGUGUUGGAAUGGCUACGGGCCAUUUCAGUGCCGCAGGGAAGCCAUUAAGCUCGCCGCCUGGGGAGUACGGCCGCAAGGCUGAAACUUAAAGGAAUUGGCGGGGGAGCACCACAAGGCGUGAAGCUUGCGGUUUAAUUGGAGUCAACGCCGGAA
rnacentral:rRNA from 1 species